rnacentral:rRNA from 1 species
GAGUUUGAUCAUGGCUCAGAUUGAACGCUGGCGGCAUGCCUUACACAUGCAAGUCGAACGGCAGCAUGAUCUAGCUUGCUAGAUUGAUGGCGAGUGGCGAACGGGUGAGUAAUACAUCGGAACGUGCCCUGUAGUGGGGGAUAACUAGUCGAAAGAUUAGCUAAUACCGCAUACGACCUGAGGGUGAAAGUGGGGGACCGCAAGGCCUCAUGCUAUAGGAGCGGCCGAUGUCUGAUUAGCUAGUUGGUGGGGUAAGGGCCCACCAAGGCGACGAUCAGUAGCUGGUCUGAGAGGACGAUCAGCCACACUGGGACUGAGACACGGCCCAGACUCCUACGGGAGGCAGCAGUGGGGAAUUUUGGACAAUGGGCGAAAGCCUGAUCCAGCAAUGCCGCGUGUGUGAAGAAGGCCU